UACGGAGGGUGCGAGCGUUAAUCGGAAUUACUGGGCGUAAAGGGUGCGUAGGUGGUUGAUUAAGUUAUCUGUGAAAUUCCUGGGCUUAACCUGGGACGGUCAGAUAAUACUGGUUGACUCGAGUAUGGGAGAGGGUAGUGGAAGUUCCGGUGUAUCGGUGAAAUGCGUAGAGAUCGGAAGGAACACCAGUGGCGAAGGCGGCUACCUGGUCUAAUACUGACACUGAGGCACGAAAGCGUGGGGAGCAAACAGG
rnacentral:rRNA from 1 species